rnacentral:rRNA from 1 species
GCCUACGGCCAUGCCACCCUGAACAAGCCUGAUGUCUGAUCUCGGAAGCUAAGCAGAGUCGGGCCUGGUUAGUACUUGGAUGGGAGACCACCUAGGAAGACCAGGUACUGUAGAAG